GACGGAGGAUGCAAGUGUUAUCCGGAAUCACUGGGCGUAAAGCGUCUGUAGGUCGUUUACAAAGUCUACUGUUAAAAAUUGAAGCUUAACUUCAAAGGUGCCGUAGAAACUUUUAAACUUGAGUAUGGUAGGGGUAGAGGGAAUUUCCAGUGGAGCGGUGAAAUGCGUAGAUAUUGGAAAGACCACCAAUGGCGAAGGCACUCUACUGGGCCAUUACUGACACUGAGAGACGAAAGCUAGGGGAGCAAAUGGG
rnacentral:rRNA from 1 species